AGGUGACCUGCGGAGGGAUCAUUACUGAGUGUGGGCUCCGGCCCUACCUCCAACCCCAUGUCGAAACGACUCUGUUGCCUCGGGGGCGACCCGGCCUUCGGGCGUCGGGGCCCCCGGUGGACACCUUCAUAACUCUUGCAUCUCUUGCGUCUGAGUGAUACAUAUAAUCAAUCAAAACUUUCAACAACGGAUCUCUUGGUUCUGGCAUCGAUGAAGAACGCAGCGAAAUGCGAUAAGUAAUGUGAAUUGCAGAAUUCAGUGAAUCAUCGAAUCUUUGAACGCACAUUGCGCCCCCUGGCAUUCCGGGGGGCAUGCCUGUUCGAGCGUCAUUACACCACUCAAGCCUGGCUUGGUAUUGAGCGCCGCGGCCUGCCCGCGCGCUCCAAUGUCUCCGGCUGAGCCGUCCGUCUCUAAGCGUUGUGAAUAGCGAUCGCUUGCGAGGCCCGGGCGGUUCGACGCCGUUAAACCCCCCAUUUUCUAUGGUUGACCUCGGAUCAGGUAGGGAUACCCGCUGAACUUAAGCAUAUCAAUAAGCGGAGGAAAAGAAACCAACAGGGAUUGCCCUAGUAACGGCGAGUGAAGCGGCAAUAGCUCAAAUUUGAAAUCUGGCGCAAGCCCGAGUUGUAAUUUGUAG
rnacentral:rRNA from 1 species